rnacentral:lncRNA from 1 species
UUGAUGGUUUAGGGUUUAGAGUUGAAGUUUAGGGUUUAGGGUUUAGAAUAGAUGUUUUAGGGUUUAGAGUUAAAGGUUUAGGGCUUAGGGUUUAGAGCUUAGGGUUUAGAGUUGAUGUUUCGGGGUUUAGGGUUCGUAUUUCAAAAGAAUAUAGUGUUUAGGAUUGAUGGUUUAGGGUUUAGGAUUCGUAUUUCAAAAAAAAAGGUUUAGGAUUGAUGGUUUAGUAUUUAGAGUUGAGUUUUAGGGUUUAGGGUUUGAAUUUCGAAGUUUUAUAAUUCGAAAAAAAUUAGAAAAAUUAUUUUUUAUUUUUUAGAGUUUUUAUUUAUUUAAAUAUUUAUUUAUUAUAUAUAUAAAGAACAAUGACAUAAAAGUCUAUUGUCACUUAAUGAAAAUGUAUUUUUGAAAAUGUGUUUUUAAUGGUGAUAAAUAUGAAAAGUAGUAGUCCGAAAGUGGUAAAUAUAAAAUUUCUCACUAUUAGUUUAAUCAAGAAACGGAAUCCAACAAAAUAUGAUAAUAAAAGAACUAACAAAUCGAAUAAACUUUUGAAAUACGUUUCGGGGGAAAAUGUUAAAUUAAAAUAUACUAAAUAAGGCACAUAUAAACUAUACCUUAAGAAUCUGAAAAAUGAAUAUGCUACACAUAAAUUUGUCUAAAUAUGCGAUUAUCAAAAUUUCAUAUUUAUUGUAACUCUUAUUAGCUAAUUCUUAUAUUCAACUAUAUUUUUGGGUGAACGUUGGUUUUUAAAAUAUGAA